CUAACUUGUGUCUUUCACUGUGCUGCGUACUGUGUACUGUUCAAGCAGACAGUUCUUCCUAGAAGGCAUAUAGUAAUUUUUUAGAAAAUAGUCUUCUAGCCCUGUUGAAGGUUUUAAAUAUACAGCAUCUUCUAAAGUUCUAUUCCAUUAUGAUUUUCAGAACGGAUAAGGGUGGUGCCAUGCCACCAAGCACAGCCCCUUUAGCCCACAGCUGAGCUGCAGGAACGAGACUGGAAGAGCACGGGGCAUCGAUGUGUUACAUCUAAUCUGGGGGCAGCAUUAUCCAAAGACAUAUUAGGGACAGUCUCACCCUGUGUGUUGUUACAUCAAGUCCCUUAUGGAGAGGUUAAUAGCGACCUCAGCAAAGGUCGUUCAUUCAGAGUCGUGCAUAUUGCUGUAAGGACAAGCUGACUUUGGGAU
rnacentral:lncRNA from 1 species